rnacentral:tRNA from 1 species
GGCUCUGUAGCUCAGUUUGGUUAGAGCGCCGCCCUGUCACGGCGGAGGUCACGGGUUCGAGCCCCGUCAGGGUCGCCA